CGUGCGUGACCGUGUGGAAUCCUGCUCUGUCGUUAGGGUUUACGCUUCCUUUAAAUCCCCGAAGACCCGAUGCCCCUCUGCCGCCGCAAUUGCGCCGACCUGAGCCACCUGACGCGAAUCCCAGAAGCCGGCGAGUAUUGAAGAAGACAUUACUUACUGAGAUCCAAGGCACGCUUGAAAUCCUUGAAGUUUUUGUGUGUGCAGUGAGCAAACCAGUAGUUUAAUUGGAGAAGAGUCCAGGCCAGUACACAGGCUGAGUAAAAGUGCUCGCCGUUCUGGCUCUCUACUUGCCGUGAACAAACAGGUUUCUCCUGGAAGGAGGGACUAAGUUUUAACCUUUCUUUGGACUCAUCCUAGUGUGCUGCAAAUUGCUUCUUGGUUUCCAUGUCAGGUGGAAUAUGACUUGCAAUGCACAUUUGUCUAUUUUUGUGAAGGAUAAUGCCCAAUUUACUUUUGAUAUGUUUUUGUGGUCUUGUAGAAGACCAAGUAGGAAGUUUAUCACCUGCAGAUUGAGGUCCUCAUGAUUGGAGCUACAGUUUUAUUCCCCAAUUUAGGUUGACAUGCACUUGUGAACCCCUUUGUUUAUUUUGUUUGUGCAUUUGUGUUAAGUCAUGGAUCUAUGAUGCAAUUGUUAACUGCGUUAUCUUUCUUGAACUUCAAAGUACUGAAGAAGACAAUACUGACUGAGAUCCAAGGCAUGCUUGAAAUUCUCAGAGUUUCAUGUUUUGUAUAAUUUACUUUGAUUAUAGAGAGCUCAUGCAUUUCCUUC